rnacentral:rRNA from 1 species
AUUGAACGCUGGCGGAAUGCUUUACACAUGCAAGUCGAACGGUAGAGGGGGCAACCCCUCGAGAGUGGCGAACGGGUGAGUAAUAUAUCGGAACGUGCCCAGUCGUGGGGGAUAACGUAGCGAAAGUUACGCUAAUACCGCAUACGAUCUAAGGAUGAAAGCGGGGGGUCGCAAGACCUCGCGCGAUUGGAGCGGCCGAUAUCAGAUUAGGUAGUUGGUGGGGUAAAGGCUCACCAAGCCAACGAUCUGUAGCUGGUCUGAGAGGACGACCAGCCACACUGGAACUGAGACACGGACCAGACUACUACGGGAGGCAGCAGUGGGGAAUUUUGGACAAUGGACGCAAGUCUGAUCCAGCCAUUCCGCGUGCAGGAUGAAGGCCCUCGGGUUGUAAACUGCUUUUGUACGGAACGAAAAGGUCUCUCUUAAUACGGGGGACUCAUGACGGUACCGUAAGAAUAAGCACCGGCUAACUACGUGCCAGCCGCCGCAGUAAGAC